UCCCAAAGAUUAGCGGCGGACGGGUGAGUAACACGUGGGCAACCUGCCUGUAAGACUGGGAUAACUUCGGGAAACCGGAGCUAAUACCGGAUAAUCCCUUUCCUCUCAUGAGGAAAGGCUGAAAGAUGGUUUCGGCUAUCACUUACAGAUGGGCCCGCGGCGCAUUAGCUAGUUGGUGAGGUAACGGCUCACCAAGGCGACGAUGCGUAGCCGACCUGAGAGGGUGAUCGGCCACACUGGGACUGAGACACGGCCCAGACUCCUACGGGAGGCAGCAGUAGGGAAUCUUCCGCAAUGGACGAAAGUCUGACGGAGCAACGCCGCGUGAGUGAUGAAGGUUUUCGGAUCGUAAAACUCUGUUGUUAGGGAAGAACAAGUACCAGAGUAACUGCUGGUACCUUGACGGUACCUAACCAGAAAGCCACGGCUAACUACGUGCCAGCAGCCGCGGUAAUACGUAGGUGGCAAGCGUUGUCCGGAAUUAUUGGGCGUAAAGCGCGCGCAGGCGGUCCUUUAAGUCUGAUGUGAAAGCCCACGGCUCAACCGUGGAGGGUCAUUGGAAACUGGGGGACUUGAGUGCAGAAGAGAAGAGUGGAAUUCCACGUGUAGCGGUGAAAUGCGUAGAGAUGUGGAGGAACACCAGUGGCGAAGGC
rnacentral:rRNA from 1 species